CAACAUCUUUAAUAGGAUGUUACGAUUGUGUGAAUACAUAGCACAUUCGAGGUAGACGCAGAGAACUGAAACAUCUAAGUACCUGCAGGAAGAGAAAGAAAAUUCGAUUCCCUGAGUAGCGGCGAGCGAAACGGGAAAAGCCCAAACCAGCAAGCUUGCUUGUUGGGGUUGUAGGACUCCAAUAUGGUAGUUCUUUCAGAUAGUCGAAUGACUUGGAAAAGUCAGUCAAAGAGGGUAAAAACCCCGUAGACGAAAUGUGGAAGACACCUAGGAGGAUCCUGAGUACGGCGGAACACGAGAAAUUCCGUCGGAAUCCGGGAGGACCAUCUCCCAAGGCUAAAUACUCCCUAGUGACCGAUAGUGAACCAGUACCGUGAGGGAAAGGUGAAAAGCACCCCGGAAGGGGAGUGAAAUAGAACCUGAAACCGUGUGCCUACAACAAGUCAAAGCCCGUUAAUGGGUGAUGGCGUGCCUUUUGUAGAAUGAACCGGCGAGUUACGAUUGCAUGCGAGGUUAAGUUGAAGAGACGGAGCCGCAGCGAAAGCGAGUCUGAAUAGGGCGUUUGAGUAUGUAGUCGUAGACCCGAAACCAUGUGAUCUACCCAUGUCCAGGUUGAAGGUGCGGUAAAACGCACUGGAGGACCGAACCCACGUACGUUGAAAAGUGCGGGGAUGAGGUGUGGGUAGCGGAGAAAUUCCAAACGAACUUGGAGAUAGCUGGUUCUCUCCGAAAUAGCUUUAGGGCUAGCCUCGGAAUUGAGAAUGAUGGAGGUAGAGCACUGUUUG
rnacentral:rRNA from 1 species